UCUUCCACAAUGGACGCAAGUCUGAUGGAGCAACGCCGCGUGAGUGAAGCAGGGUUUCGGCGCGUAAAGAUCUGUUGUUAAAGAAGAACGUGGGUGAGAGUAACUGUUCACCCAGUGACGGAUUAUAACCAGAAAGCCCCGGCUAACUACGUGCAAGCAGCCGCGGUAAUACGUAGGUGGCAAGCGUUAUCCGGAUUUAUUGGGCGUAAAGCGAGCGCAGGCGGUCUUUUAAGUCUAAUGUGAAAGCCUUCGGCUCAACCGAAGAAGUGCAUUGGAAACUGGGAGACUUGAGUGCAGAAGAGGACAGUGGAACUCCAUGUGUAGCGGUGAAAUGCGUAGAUAUAUGGAAGAACACCAGUGGCGAAGGCGGCUGUCUGGUCUGUAACUGACGCUGAGGCUCGAAAGCAUGGGUAGCGAACAG
rnacentral:rRNA from 1 species